rnacentral:rRNA from 1 species
ACGUAGUUAGCCGUGGCUUCCUCCUCAGGUACCGUCAUUAUCGUCCCUGAAGACAGAGCUUUACAACCCGAAGGCCGUCAUCACUCACGCGGCGUUGCUGCAUCAGGGUUUCCCCCAUUGUGCAAUAUUCCCCACUGCUGCCUCCCGUAGGAGUCUGGGCCGUGUCUCAGUCCCAAUGUGGCCGAUCACCCUCUCAGGUCGGCUACGCAUCGUCGCCUUGGUGAGCCGUUACCUCACCAACUAGCUAAUGCGCCGCGGGCCCAUCUCAUAGCGGAUUGCUCCUUUAAUUGCUACUUCAUGCGAAGCUACAAUCUUAUGCGGUAUUAAUCUCCCUUUCGGAAGGCUAUUCCCCUCUAUGAGGCAGGUUGCCCACGUGUUACUCACCCGUCGCCGCUAGCUUUGUCCGAAGAACUCCACUCGCUCGACUUGCAUGUGUUAGGCACGCCGCCAGCGUUGUCUGUAGCCAGGAGUCAAAACUACU